rnacentral:rRNA from 1 species
GAUGAACGCUGGCGGCGUGCCUACUACAUGCAAGUCGAGCGAACAGACGAGGAGCUUGCUCCUUUGACGUUAGCGGCGGACGGGUGAGUAACACGUGGGUAACCUACCUAUAAGACUGGGAUAACUUCGGGAAACCGGAGCUAAUACCGGAUGAUAUUUCGAACCGCAUGGUUCGAUAGUGAAAGAUGGCUUUGCUAUCACUUAUAGAUGGACCUGCGCCGUAUUAGCUAGUUGGUAAGGUAACGGCUUACCAAGGCAACGAUACGUAGCCGACCUGAGAGGGUGAUCGGCCACACUGGAACUGAGACACGGUCCAGACUCCUACGGGAGGCAGCAGUAGGGAAUCUUCCGCAAUGGGCGAAAGCCUGACGGAGCAACGCCGCGUGAGUGAUGAAGGUCUUCGGAUCGUAAAACUCUGUUAUUAGGGAAGAACAAACGUGUAAGUAACUGUGCACGUCUUGACGGUACCUAAUCAGAAAGCCACGGCUAACUACGUG